UGCGCACGCGUGCUGAAUGAUGUCAUAGUCGCCGUUUGUUGUUGUUCAUCCUUCAUGCAUACAGUAGGCGUACUCUUUCUGUAGGUAUAUCGUAAACGUUUAAUUCCUAUAAAAUUUAGUGGUGGUGAGACAUUUAUUCAAGAGGAAUUUUACAAGAGCUGAACUGAGCUUCUGAAAGAAGUGCAAUGCGAGAUGUUUAUUGCUAACAAUCCAACUAAAACAAAAGAACUCCUGUUUACUAUGAUUGAGUCACCAGAACUGUCGUCUAUCCCGUGUCCUCUGUUUACCCAAAAUGUGUGUCCUGAACACUUCGUGGCAAUGUAUGAGCGAAUUUCCAAAACGUUUAAUAGCUCUGGCACAGUAGAAGCAUUCUCAGCGUUAUCAAAGGGCGGAACCUGUGAAUUACGACAACCCGACGGACUGUCCUCAACUGCCCCUGAUUCUCAGGUGGUCCCAGUUAUCACACUGGCAUUUGUACAUGUACACCAAUUCGUGUACACCAUGUUUUUGUA